AUUGAACGCUGGCGGCAUGCCUUACACAUGCAAGUCGAACGGCAGCGGGGACUUCGGUCCGCCGGCGAGUGGCGAACGGGUGAGUAAUGUAUCGGAACGUACCAUUGAGUGGGGGAUAACGUAGCGAAAGUUACGCUAAUACCGCAUAUUCUCUCCGGAGGAAAGCAGGGGACCGCUAGGCCUUGCGCUCUUUGAGCGGCCGAUUUCCGAUUAGCUAGUUGGUGAGGUAAAGGCUCACCAAGGCGACGAUCUGUAGCGGGUCGGAGAGGAUGAUCCGCCACACUGGAACUGUGACACGGUCCAGACUCCGACGGGAGGCAGCAGUGGGGAAUUUUGGUCAAUGGGGUCAACCCUGAUCCGUCCAUGCCGCGUGAGUGAAGAAGGCCUUCGGGUUGUAAAGCUCUUUCGGCCGGGAAAAAAUCGCAUGGGCUAAUACCCUGUGUGGAUGAUGGUACCGGAAUAAGAAGCACCGGCUAACUACGUGCCAGCCGCCGCAGUAA
rnacentral:rRNA from 1 species